rnacentral:rRNA from 1 species
GACGAACGCUGGCGGCGUGCUUAACACAUGCAAGUCGAACGGUAAGGCCCCUUCGGGGGUACACGAGUGGCGAACGGGUGAGUAACACGUGAGCAACCUGCCCUUGACUCUGGAAUAACAGUUGGAAACAGCUGCUAAUACUGGAUAUUCAUCGUCUCCUUCCUGGGGGGUGGUGGAAAGCUCCGGCGGUCAGGGAUGGGCUCGCGGCCUAUCAGCUUGUUGGUGAGGUAAUGGCUCACCAAGGCUUCGACGGGUAGCCGGCCUGAGAGGGCGACCGGCCACACUGGGACUGAGAUACGGCCCAGACUCCUACGGGAGGCAGCAGUGGGGAAUAUUGCACAAUGGGCGCAAGCCUGAUGCAGCAACGCCGCGUGCGGGAUGACGGCCUUCGGGUUGUAAACCGCUUUCAGUAGGGACGAAGGGUGACUGAUGGUACCUACAGAAGAAGGACCGGCUAACUACGUG